rnacentral:tRNA from 1 species
GCUGAUAUAGUGUAGGGGCCAAUCAUGCUGGCCUUUUACGCCAGCGACUGGGGUUCGAAUCCCCAUAUCAGCA